GGCUCAGAACGAACGCUGGCGGCGUGCCUAACACAUGCAAGUCGAGCGCGAAAAGAGCAAUCUGAGUAGAGCGGCGCACGGGUGCGUAACACGUGGGUAAUCUGCCUCGAGGUCCGGGAUAACCAUUCGAAAGUUUGGCUAAUACCGGUUAAGCUCACGGCGACUUCGGUCGCUGCGAGAAAAGGGGCCCGAAAGGGUCUCGCCACGAGAUGAGCCCGCGGCCCAUCAGCUAGUUGGCGGGGUAACGGCCCACCAAGGCAACGACGGGUAGCUGGUCUGAGAGGACGAUCAGCCACACUGGAACUGAGACACGGUCCAGACUCCUACGGGAGGCAGCAGUGGGGAAUUUUGCACAAUGGGCGCAAGCCUGAUGCAGCAACGCCGCGUGUGUGAUGAAGGUCUUCGGAUCGUAAAGCACUUUCGACCGGGACGAACAAGCCUGGCCACACCAGGCCCUGACGGUACCGGGAGAAGAAGCACCGGCUAACUCUGUGCCAGCAGCCGCGGUAAUACAGAGGGUGCAAGCGUUGUUCGGAAUUAUUGGGCGUAAAGCGCGUGUAGGCGGCUUAGCAAGUCGGGCGUGAAAGCCCUCGGCUCAACCGAGGAAGUGCACCCGAAACUGCUGAGCUUGAGUGCCGGAGAGGAUGGCGGAAUUCCCCAAGUAGAGGUGAAAUUCGUAGAUAUGGGGAGGAACACCGGUGGCGAAGGCGGCCAUCUGGACGGUAACUGACGCUGAGACGCGAAAGCGUGGGGAGCAAACAGGAUUAGAUACCCUGGUAGUCCACGCCGUAAACGAUGAGAACUAGAUGUCGCGGGUGUUGACCCCUGCGGUGUCGCAGCUAACGCAUUAAGUUCUCCGCCUGGGAAGUACGGUCGCAAGAUUAAACUCAAAU
rnacentral:rRNA from 1 species